GAGUGUGUGAUCUCUACUCUCAGUCCUGUGUGUGUGUAUAUACUUGGGUCUGUUGGAGUGUGUGAUCUCUACUCAGUCCUGUGUGUGUGUAUAUACUUGGGUCUGUUUGAGUGUGUGAUCUCUACUCUCAGUCCUGUGUGUGUGUAUAUACUUGGGUCUGUUCGAGUGUGUGAUCUCUACUCUCAGUCCUGUGUGUGUGUGUAUAUACUUGGGUCUGUUUGAGUGUGUGAUCUCUACCCUCAGUCCUGUGUGUGUGAUAUUGUGUGGACUGACUGUUCUCAUCCAGCAGCAGUAGCAGCCAUGGGGGCAUGUAUCCAUCUCCGUCAGGCACCUUGCGCCUGGGCCCUGACUGCAGAGCUUUAUAUCUAUGAUUAUAGACAAACCAACGUAUUACGGUAUGGUAGAACAGGACUGUAAUGUGUUUUUAUAUCUCAAGGUCAUUCCCGUUGCUUAGCUAGCCAGCUAGGUCAGCAUUUGCAUGCGCUAAAGCUUCUUACACAAUAGCGACAAUGUAGGUUAAAACAAUCAGUACUCACCUCUGGGCUAGUGCACGGAUGGAGACACUAGCAAGCGUCAAGCCUCCGGAUAAACAGCCUUUAAGACUCCCACUAGGAACGCUUUGCUUGGCUACCGGUUUGUGUGAAUGUGUAACUUUAGUGCUGCUACCUGAAGAACAUGAGUUCAUUCGCUUUUUUUGAGAGAAGAGCACUGAUGGUCAUGUACUCAUCACUAUCCACACAGGUUACAGGAGAGAAUGGUAGUAGCACAUAUUGACCUACAAGCCAAAACGUUGUAUUUUUUUUUUUCCUUUACAUGUGUAUAUAUAUAUAUAUAUGUAUCCUCCUGUUUUACACAGUCUGCCAGUGUCAGUCUCAAUUUGUCCUGCGCCAGGAGACCUAAUCAACCCCAGAUUGGAAUGUUCACAGCUGAGCCUUUUACUCGUCUCUCUUGGCUGCAAAAAAUCCGUCUCAAAGCCCUGCAAGAGAGUAGCAUAGACAUGGCUAAUAGCACAGAUUCUGCCACUAUUGGACAUUUGUCAGACACAGGGCUGAGAAGUCNNNNNNNNNNNNNNNNNNNNNNNNNNNNNNNNNNNNNCACACACACACGGUAUCAAUAGAGUUGGGGGUUAUAUAUAUGUAUACACACACACACACACACGGUAUCAAUAGAGUUGGGGGUUAUAUAUAUGUAUACACACACACACACGCACACACGCACACACGCACACACACAACCCCUAACUCUAUUGAUUGAUACCUUAAUAUGUAUGUUUUAGUCAGCCUUGAAAAUAAAAAUCCACACUCCUUUAUUUUCAUGUACAUGAAUGGGGUGAGAGUCCUGAUAACUACUACUGGAUCAGUCUAUAGACAGGCUGGCAUGUAUACAUGAGAACCUCUGACUCAUCUUGUCCUGGGCUACAUGUGUUUUGGCUUAGGCUGUUUGUUCCGAGGGAGAUUUACAUUGGGAUAUGUGAUCAAGAGCGUUGGGGCCGCCAGGGUCACUAGGUUGAGUUUAGAGAUAGUGAUGAGCUAUGCAGGGACUGGCUACAAGUCCUUUCGGGUGUUAACCCCUGUAUGGGGGCUUCCUGCUGACCUUAGCUAUGGAAAAUCAACUGAAGCUCCCUCAGCCAGACACAUAUAAACACAGGCACACAAGCAUGCAUCUUUACAACGUCUGUAUGCCAGGAGCAGUCAGUCAUCUAGGCCAGAGUGACCAAUCACAGGGACUACAGAAUCCUGAGCUGGGAGAGAGGCCCCUCAGAAACACAAGCAUGCUAACCCACACCGUGGAAACUUCCCAGUGUCCUUUAGCCUGAUGGGGAUUGAUAUAACGCCUAGGGCUGUGACAGGCGUGGAAUUUCGGGUUGACUAAUUGGCCAGCCAAAUGACUGCGUUCACCGUAAUAACUGUUUUUCAGACGCACAUUUUCUCCUUUCCUCCGCUCCUGACUGCACCUGCUGUAUACAUUCAUGGAAAUAGAAUGAAUACAACAGGUGUCUCCAUUCAAGUCAAUUAUGGCAUAAUGGAUGGACUGGCAGUCGUUGCAGGAAGUAAAAGCAGAAAGUGUACCCAUGUGCUGUGAUUUGUUGAUUCCACUCAACUGACAUUACAACAAAUACAUUCCAUCAGUUCGCGUCCUUUGGAUGAACAUUCUACAUUACCAUGGAAAUUAUUGCAUCACAAUACCAGGCAGCCAUUGUGAGUGUACCCAUGAGUUUACCAGUCAUAUUGCCAGGGUUAGAGGUUCCAAGACUGUUCUAUUCAUUCUAUUUCUAUGUGUGCUGCUACAGGGAGGGGGGNNNNNNNNNNGGGGGGGGCAUUGCCUUGGCCACUGAAGACGUAUUUGCUCCAACACAUUGCUUCUUUCAGCGAAGAGCAACAAAGUUUCAUCACGUUAAGAGUCCAGUUUCCACAGAAAUGGACUCACACAUACAAACCACAACAUCUUACUAGGGAUAGACACAGCCUAUGUGUUUUAAUAAAAUCAACUAUAUGCAUUAAGCAUGUCUGACGCUUUAUGCUUACUGUUUGAGGAAAUAAGACACAAAUGACUCGGGGGGAGCCAGAGAUCAAGAUAACCAGAAGAAAAAAAUAUAUAUUUAUUUGAUGAAACAGUUUAUUUGGCCUUAGUGCUAUUAGCACAUACAAACGCAUUGAAUGACAGAUUCCCUACAAGAAACAAUAGAUAGUCUCCCCGCCCAAACCCCAUAUCUGAGAUAUUUAAGAAACACCAGGAUACAUUUCUAG
rnacentral:lncRNA from 13 species